rnacentral:rRNA from 1 species
GAUGAACGCUGGCGGCGUGCCUAAUACAUGCAAGUCGAGCGAACGGACGAGAAUCUUGCUUCUCUGAUGUUAGCGGCGGACGGGUGAGUAACACGUGGAUAACCUACUUAUAAGACUGGGAUAACUUCGGGAAUCCGGAGCUAAUACCGGAUAAUAUUUUGAACCGCAUGGUUCAAAAGUGAAAGACGGUCUUGCUGUCACUUAUAGAUGGAUCCGCGCUGCAUUAGCUAGUUGGUAAGGUAACGGCUUACCAAGGCAACGAUGCAUAGCCGACCUGAGAGAGUGAUCGGCCACACUGGAACUGAAACACGGUCCAGACUCCUACGGGAGGCAGCAGUAGGGAAUCUUCCGCAAUGGGCGAAAGCCUGACGGAGCAACGCCGCGUGAGUGAUGAAGGUCUUCGGAUCGUAAAACUCUGUUAUUAGGGAAGAACAUAUGUGUAAGUAACUGUGCACAUCUUGACGGUACCUAAUCAGAAAGCCACGGCUAACUACGUG